AGUGUGAUUUGAGGGGGGGUACACAGGGAGUGGAAGUCUACCCAUGUUUACACUUCCUUAUCAUGCAGUUGGAAAGCAGCAGCCGAGAAUAGUAGGGAAUAAAACAGGGGGUUAGGGUUUUUUGGCUUGGAUGGCGUUGGGUGAUCCGAGGGGUUCUCGAUGCUCGCAAUCUUCGGAUGUGGUGUCGAACCAUUGGAUUGCGAUUCUGAGAGCCGAAGAAGGAGAUUCUGUGGAGUACAGGGGAGAUUCUAUGGAGAAUGAAACUAGUGUUCCUUUGAAUACAGAGACCACGACUGAGAUUUUGAUGGCCUAUUUGCCCCGAACUCUGGUGUUAUGUGAGUUUCGUCAU